rnacentral:rRNA from 1 species
GCUAAACGCGAAGAACCUUACCUGGGUUUGACAUGGCCGCAAAACCGGCAAAGAUGUCGGGUCCUUCGGGGGCGGUCACAGGUGGUGCAUGGCUGUCGUCAGCUCGUGUCGUGAGAUGUUGGGUUAAGUCCCGCAACGAGCGCAACCCUCGUUCGAUGUUGCCAGCGGUUCGGCCGGGGACUCAUCGAAGACUGCCGGGGUCAACUCGGAGGAAGGUGGGGAUGACGUCAAGUCAUCAUGCCCCUUAUGUCCAGGGCUUCACGCAUGCUACAAUGGCCGGUACAAUGGGCUGCGAUACCGUGAGGUGGAGCGAAUCCCAAAAAGCCGGUCUCAGUUCGGAUCGGGGUCUGCAACUCGACCCCGUGAAGUCGGAGUCGCUAGUAAUCGUGGAUCAGCAUGUCACGGUGAAUACGUUCCCGGGUCUUGUACACACCG